UACGUAGGGGGCAAGCGUUGUCCGGAUUUAUUGGGCGUAAAGAGCGUGUAGGCGGCCAGACAAGUCUGCUGUGAAAACUCGAGGCUCAACCUCGAGCUGUCGGUGGAAACUGUCUGGCUAGAGUCCGGAAGAGGCGAGUGGAAUUCCUGGUGUAGCGGUGAAAUGCGCAGAUAUCAGGAGGAACACCAAUGGCGAAGGCAGCUCGCUGGGACGGUACUGACGCUGAGGCGCGAAAGCUAGGGUAGCAAACGGG
rnacentral:rRNA from 1 species